AUGAGGAGUCAUGUUUGUCUCUUUUUUAAAACAGUGAAAACAGCUGGUUACCCUAAAGCCCUACCUGAUGUCCUUGACAGACAUCUCAUUGGAGAAAGUUGCCUCUGCGAGGGAGAGGAGUUCCUAACACCUGCUCAGCCCACACAGCACCACCAUGACCAGCUCCACCUGACUGCUGUGAAAGGCCCCUUUGAGCAGCUCCAAGAUCAGGUGCAGGAAGACCCUUGAUAAUACACAUGUGCACCAGAGACCCUCUAGGUCAGAUGCUGGCACUCUAGAAGGAAGCGUCCUCAAAUUCCUGCUCUGGCUCUCAUGCUGAAGUCUCUGGGAACGCCUUUAUGGGACCUUAGGUACGUUGGCACUGCCUUCUAAACUUAUGUUGUUUCAGUCUGCAUCUCAUGCAUUCCCUAACCCCCAGAAACUAUGAUAUUGUGUUUUUUACUUAAUUACUCAUUUAUAGGAUCUAGAAAUACAGUGUAUUUGUUAAUCUUGUAUACUACAACUUUGCUAAGUUAUUAGUUCUCGGAGUUUGUUUAUAGAUUCUUUGGAAUUUUCUAUAUAGACAAUACCUGCAAAUAGAGGAGGGGGUUUAUUUCCUCUUCUGUGGUUUGUUUCCUUUUCUUGGCUUAUUGUGUGGGUUAGAACCUCCAGAACUAUCUUGAAGACUGGUGAUGGUUGUGGGCACCCUUGCCUUGUUCCUAAUCUUUGGUGGAAAAUUUUGUCUUUUAUAAGUGAGAUAUUUGCUGCAAGUUUUUUCUUUUUAGGGCCACACCUGUGGCAUAUAGAUGUUCUCUCCCAGGGUAGGGGUGGAAUGGGAGCUGUAGCAGCCGGCCUACGCACAGCAAUGUCAGAUCCCAGAUACAUCUGUAACCUAACAUCACUGCUUGUGGCAAUGCUGGAUCCUUGAACUCACUGAGCAAGGCCAGGGGACAAACCUGCUCCUCGUGGAUAUUAAUCAGGUUCUUAAACUACUGAGCUACAAUAGGAACUCUUAAUUUUACAGUUUUGAACUAGCUUUGUAUACUUGGAAUAAAAACUGCUUUAUCACAAUGUAUAAUAUUUAA
rnacentral:lncRNA from 1 species